ACGAGAAUCUGCGGAAAGAGGAUUCGUCCAAUUGAAGCAGAGGACAGUGGCGGACGGGUGAGUAACGCGUGAGGAACCUGCCUUUCAGAGGGGGACAACAGUUGGAAACGACUGCUAAUACCGCAUGACAUAUAGAUGUCGCAUGGCAUUUAUAUCAAAGAUUUAUCGCUGAAAGAUGGCCUCGCGUCUGAUUAGCUAGUUGGUGAGGUAACGGCCCACCAAGGCGACGAUCAGUAGCCGGACUGAGGGGUUGAACGGCCACAUUGGGACUGAGAUACGGCCCAGACUCCUACGGGAGGCAGCAGUGGGGAAUAUUGGGCAAUGGGCGCAAGCCUGACCCAGCAACGCCGCGUGAAGGAAGAAGGCUUUCGGGUUGUAAACUUCUUUUGUCAGGGACGAGUAGAAGACGGUACCUGACGAAUAAGCCACGGCUAACUACGUGCCAGCAGCCGCGGUAAUACGUAGGUGGCAAGCGUUGUCCGGAUUUACUGGGUGUAAAGGGCGUGUAGCCGGGAGGGCAAGUCAGAUGUGAAAUCCACGGGCUCAACUCGUGAACUGCAUUUGAAACUACUCUUCUUGAGUAUCGGAGAGGCAAUCGGAAUUCCUAGUGUAGCGGUGAAAUGCGUAGAUAUUAGGAGGAACACCAGUGGCGAAGGCGGAUUGCUGGACG
rnacentral:rRNA from 1 species